rnacentral:rRNA from 1 species
UGCCAGCCGCCGCGGUAACACGUAGGAGGCAAACGUUAUCCGGAUUUACUGGGCGUAACGCGCGUGCAGGCGGUUUGGUAAGUUGGAUGUGAAAGCUCCCGGCUCAACUGGGAGAGGUCGUUCAAUACUGCCAAACUAGAGGACGGUAGAGGAAGGUGGAAUUCCCGGUGUAGUGGUGAAAUGCGUAGAUAUCGGGAGGAACACCAGUGGCGAAGGCGGCCUUCUGGGCCGUUCCUGACGCUCAGACGCGAAAGCAUGGGUAGCGAACGAGAUUAGAUA